rnacentral:rRNA from 1 species
ACUAAGCGGAGGAAAAGAAACUAACAAGGAUUCCCUUAGUAACGGCGAGUGAACAGGGAAGAGCCCAGCACCGAAGCCUGUGACUAUUUGGUCUCUAGGCAAUGUGGUGUUUAGGUCGUUCUUCAGAGACACUGUCCCACCCUAAGUCCACUAUUGAGUGCGGCGUUUACCUGUCCCAGAGAGGGUGAAAGGCCCGUAAGGGUGGGAUUCAGACAGGCCAGUGUUUCUCUAGAUAGACCUUGGAGUCGGGUUGUUUGUGAAUGCAGCCCAAAGUGGGUGGUAAACUCCAUCCAAGGCUAAAUACUUGCACGAAUCCGAUAGCGAACAAGUACCGUGAGGGAAAGUUGAAAAGUACUUUGAAGAGAGAGUAAACAGUGCGUGAAACCGCUCAAAGGUAAACGGGUAGAGUUGAACUGCAAGCCCUGAGAAAUCAAUUGGCGAGCGUGGUAUGAUCUUGGUCAUAUAGGUUGGCUUAUAGAGUUCGCGGCUUGCCGUGGGUCCGACCUUUAUGGAAGGAUGCGUUAAGUGCUUAUCAAGCGCUGUGCGCUCUACUAGCGUCGAACCUGCUUACCAGUGCACGUUCUCAGGGUGUUCACCACGACCGACGCGACCGUCUGUCUGUUGUAGUCAAAUUCAGUUUGUUUAGUCCUUGUGGCUUUGCAGACUGGAGAUGGCAGGUAGCAUGAUGGUGUGUAUGCACUGUCUUGUGUAAUGAGCUGGGUGCAACAGAACUGUGCGGUGCGUCGGAGACAGCGGUUUGGUAUAGUUGCGCUUCUGCUAUGUCUGGUAUAGCAGCAGCGGGUCUGGUUGUCAUGUGCUUGCUUGCAAGCCUGAUGAUGGCUCGUUGUUGUGUUGCUAGCGGUGGGGCGUGCUAUACACUAAGGACCUACAGUCUGUGGUGUAGUGGUAGACUAUCUACCCGACCCGUCUUG